rnacentral:rRNA from 1 species
UACGGAGGGUGCAAGCGUUAGUCGGAAUUAUUGGGCGUAAAGGGUGCGUAGGCGGGAUCACAAGUCAUAUGUGAAAUUCCGGGGCUUAACCUCGGAGCUGCAUAUGAUACUGUAAUUCUAGUCGGAUGGCGGAGAAAAUGGAAUUCCACGUGUAGCGGUGAAAUGCGUAGAUAUGUGGAAGAACACCUGUGGCGAAAGCGGUUUUCUAGCCUACCCGAGACGCUGAGGCACGAAAGUUAGGGGAGCAAACAGG